rnacentral:lncRNA from 1 species
UUCUCUCCCCUCACAGUGGUGUCUUGUUUCUGCUUCCCCCUUUUAGGGAGAGCCUGGUGCCAUGGGGCCCCCUGGCCGGGAAGGGUCACCAGGAAAAGACGGUGACGCUGGACCCCCAGGGCCACAGGGUCCCCAAGGACUGAGGGGCCCACCGGGUAAGAAUGGAUCACCGGGAUCUCCAGGAGACCCUGGCCCCGCAGGAAAUCCUGUGAGUACUCCCCCUGCUGUAUAGUAGAAUCAAGGCCAGCUUUGAAAUGGGCAUGCCUUUC